CCUACGGGUGGCAGCAGUGGGGGAUAUUGGACAAUGGGGGGAACCCUGAUCCAGCGACGCCGCGUGAGUGAAGAAGUAUUUCGGUAUGUAAAGCUCUGUCAGCAGGGAAGAAAGAAAUGACGGUACCUGACAAAGAAGCCCCGGCUAACUACGUGCCAGCAGCCGCGGUAAUACGUAGGGGGCAAGCGUUAUUCGGAAUUACUGGGUGUAAAGGGAGCGUAGACGGGUAAGUAAGUUUGGAGUGAAAGGCCGGGGCUCAACCCCGGGACUGCUCUGGAUACUAGUGAACUUGAGUGCAGGAGAGGUAAGCGGAAUUCCUAGUGUAGCGGUGGAAUGCGUAGAGAUUAGGAGGAACAUCAGAGGCGAAGGCGGCUUACUGGACUGUAACUGACGUUGAGGCUCGAAAGCGUGGGGAGCAAACAGGAUUAGAUACCCUAGUAGUC
rnacentral:rRNA from 1 species